CCUGCCCACAAACAGCUUGGUUUUCUUUUUCUGUCUUAUCUUUCUGUGGCUAUUUGCAGAAGUUUCUGGCUAACGAAUAGUUUAUAAUUUUUCUCACUCUUACAAAUGCUUCAUUUAGUCAUAUCUGAAAAACUCCAUGAAUCUGAAUUUGUUACCUCGGGACAGUUGGGAUUCCAAUGGUUCAGUGUUGAUCUCCAGUUUCACAUUCCUUGUUUUGGUACCGUGGUUUGCCAAUUAAAUGUUUCUUAAAGUUGGUUGAGGAGCUUCAACAGUUGUUAAAAGUUUAACGUCUCCCAAUUUAGGGGAAAUUAAUUAUUACAUACAACUUAACAAGAUACAUCUGCUGCCUAUUCCUCAGGUUUAGUGAUGGAAGGAGAAGGUAAUAAAUUCUGUCUUCCAGGCCGACAGAUUUAAGUUCAUGAUGCGGUGAGGGACAGUGGAUAUGACCCAUCAGGAUGGUGCAAAUGGUUUCCAGGGGAUGUUCUGGAAAGGGUUUUCCCUGAGCCUUCUCUCAGAGGAGUUUCCUUUGUGUCCAACUGGCUGAGCCAGCUGGUCUAGCAGGCCUGAUUGCUGAAAGGACUCCGAGUCUCUCAUCAUGUCCAGACCUCUAAACAGGCCCCUGGUUGAUGUGGAUCCCUGGUUGGUUUUGUUUGGUUUUAUUUUUUUUAUCUUUUUUUGGGAGGGAGGGUGUACCAGGGAUUGAACUCUGAAGUGCUCAACCAUUGAUCUACAUCCCAUCCCAAGCCCUGUUUUAUAUUUUGUUUAGAGACAGGGUCUCUAUGAGUUGCUUAGUGUCUCGAUUUUGCUGAGGCUGGCUUUGAACUCAUGAUCCUCUUGCCUUAGCCUCCCAAGCCACUGGGAUUACAGGCGUGUACCACCAUGCCUGGCUGAAGUAUUUUUUUUUUUUGAUGUAGAAGUGGUUUUUACAUUUCAAACACUAGACACAGCACCAGGAUGCCCCUGUCUUUCAUCACCUUUGUGUGCCCUCAUGUCCAUGACAUGUGGAUCUUUGGGGGAAAUCAUGCAGGUACCCAGGUUUGGGCACUUCUCCAGAAUGGGGAAGGUUCGCAGCCCCUGAUGGCUCUGCACCAUCGUGGAGGUGUGCCCAGCCUGCUUAUCCAUCUUGAUGCACUGUGGAUGAUAAACAGUCAUCUCAGCCCUGUGGUGGCUGAGAGGCAGACUCCAGCCAGUGUGUGCUGGGUGAUGGUGUUUCCUGAUGGAUGGCACCUCUUCUGGGAAGCAGCUUAUUGUCUCACGUGAACAGCCUUUCUAGAAUAAAUGGCUGCUUUCGCAAUGUUUUGAAUCAUUUUCCUCAGCACAUGUUUUGUUGCUGUGGUUUGAAAGCUUGCCAAAUAUAUGCCUUUGCACAGCUCCCUGUAGGAUUGGAUCUACAAUCAGACCAAACAGUGUGAUUUAAGGUUGAACAUAAUUGGGAACUCAACAAUCACUUGCCUCAUAUUUGAUAGAAUGGCAGUGGAAUGCUUAAGAAUUAUUUCUCUGUUAAAAAAUUAUAUAUAUAAGACAUGUACACACUGAUAUAGUUUCACGGCCUCAUAAUAAAGAAGUUGUGUCUGAAGCCACUGGGCAAAAACAAUAGCAUGAUAAAUAAUUAUUUGACUUCUGUGACGGAGGCAGUAAUUAACUUCCAACGAGUCCUAGCAGUUGAUACCACAGAAUGUGAGUGAGGACCUUAGUCAAGUCAUAUAACAUUGGAGGAUGGAAAGCAAACGGUGGCAGAAAUACAUUUUAAACUCUGGUCUUUCAUCUGAUAAUAUGUCUUGUUUGUGAACUUAAGUAAUUGAGCCAAAAGCUUGGUGAAUUUGGUGUUGCCUCCCUGUUAAACAAAGGUCUUUGGUUUUACAUUUCAAAUACUACUGUGUGUUUGUCCAUGUUGGAGGGCUGGUUGCCAAUAACGGAGACCUUUCACGGGCCUCUGCUGGUGGGAAAAUGCUAUUAAUAGCCCACUCCCUGGAGCUCUUUAAAAGACAGUUAAGAGCUCUUUGAAAUCCAAAGUUCCUUCACAGUGUGGAGAGAGCGCACAGUACCACAAGCUAGUGUGUACCUGAGAAGAGAGGGUGGGGAGGGGCUGUGACACCCGCAUUUUCCCUUCCAGAUGUGCGGGUGGUCGCCUUGCUUGCAGCUGCCGCUGCUUGGGAAAAAGAAGUGGGGUGUUAGCAGGUGAUGAUGACCACCAGGCUCCUUGUUGAUGGUGUUCUUUUGCCAUCAGUGAAAUGCCUCUCUUCAUCUGUUGUAAGAGUGCUAAUCCAACAGGAAGAGAAAUAAAACACUUUUUAUUUUUAUUUUUAUUUUUUUAGUUUUAG
rnacentral:lncRNA from 1 species